AUUGAACGCUGGCGGCAGGCCUAACACUGCAAGUCGAGCGGUAACACAGGGGAGCUUGCUCCUGAGGUGACGAGCGGCGGACGGGUGAGUAAUGCCUAGGUAUCUGCCCAGUCGAGGGGGAUAACAGUUGGAAACGACUGCUAAUACCGCAUACGCCCUACGGGGGAAAGGAGGGGACCUUCGGGCCUUCCGCGAUUGGAUGAACCUAGGUGGGAUUAGCUAGUUGGUGAGGUAAUGGCUCACCAAGGCGACGAUCAGUAGCCGGACUGAGAGGUUGAACGGCCACAUUGGGACUGAGACACGGCCCAGACUCCUACGGGAGGCAGCAGUGGGGAAUAUUGCGCAAUGGGCGAAAGCCUGACGCAGCAAUUCCGCGUGGAGGAUGACGGUUUUCGGAUUGUAAACUCCUUUGAUCAGGGAAGAAUUUUUGACGGUACCUGAAGAACAAGCACCGGCUAACUACGUGCCAGCAGCCGCGGUAAUACGUAGGGUGCAAGCGUUAUCCGGAUUUACUGGGUGUAAAGGGCGAGUAGGCGGGACUGCAAGUCAGAUGUGAAAUACCAGGGCUCAACCCUGGGGCUGCAUUUGAAACUGUAGUUCUUGAAGUGAUGGAGAGGCAGGCGGAAUUCCUAGUGUAGCGGUGAAAUGCGUAGAUAUUAGGAGGAACACCAGUGGCGAAGGCGGCCUGUCCGGACAUUAACCCGACGCUGAGGAGCGAAAGCGUGGGGGGA
rnacentral:rRNA from 1 species